rnacentral:lncRNA from 1 species
ACAUGACGCCUGCGCGGUCUAUGCCUCUGAACCCGGCCUCUCCACUUCUGAGGAACUGGAGCUGACUCCGCUCUCGAGUUGCUCAGACUAACCUCUCUUCAGCUGGGACGGUGUCGAGUCGCCUUUGGGCUGGCGAAGACUCGUUGCGUUUGGUCCGACCACUCGGCUGUGUCCCCUGAGGAGCCAGAGGCUAGCAUAGGAGUAUCGAUCGCUCACCGCUCGUCUGAUCACGACGCAGUGCCUGGAGGAGCGCCGAGUGAUCGAUGCCGUGGCCCCGCCCCACUGCUGUUUAAAAGGCCGGGGGAUGGAGAAGACAGAAAGGCUUGGCUGUAUCCUCUGGGUCCUUCCACGCUAGUGAUACCGCUUUUUCCUCUGCACAGAUAACAACUUCGUACAAGGCUGUUUGCAUCCACCAUUUAAUCUCUGCAGCUAGGAUUAUUAGUUCUCCCUAUUUUACAGAGAGCGAAACUGAGGCUCAGUGAUUAAAGUGGCCACAUACUUGUACUUUUGGAAAGUCAGAUCCACAAUUACCCACGAGCAAGUGCUGCAUCCACAGUCUGUUCGAGUGAGAAGGCAAGUGGCCAGGGGACACACUCCUGCCACCUUUGCUUUGAUGCCGAGUGGUGCGUGGUCACUGGGACUUUUGUGUUUUGAGCACACACUCCUGUGGACUCCAAGUAUGCACGCCUUUUGCAGCAUUGCACAGAGGCAUGGAAAGUUAUGUUCGUACUGAGCUUGGGGUCUGAGUAGGAAACAGGCUUGCUCAGGAUCAGUUCAUAGAUUAGUGGAUUCUAGGUACGGUGCUAAAAUACUUUAAAAAUAUGAGGAUCGUAGCUAUUGUAAUGAUCAUGCUCAUCCCCAUUUUAGGGAGUGUAUUAGUCCGCUUUCAUGCUGCUGAUAAAGACAUACCCGAGACUGGGCAAUUUACAAACAAAAAGGUUUAAUGGAUUCACAGUUCCACAUGGCUGGGGAGGCCUCAAAAUCAUGGUGGAAGGUGAAAGGCACGUUUU